rnacentral:rRNA from 1 species
GACGAACGCUGGCGGCGUGCUUAACACAUGCAAGUCGAACGGAAAGGCCUUUUCGGAGGUACUCGAGUGGCGAACGGGUGAGUAACACGUGGGUGAUCUGCCCUGCACUCUGGGAUAAGCCUGGGAAACUGGGUCUAAUACCGGAUAGGACCGCACUUUAGUGUGUGUGGUGGAAAGUUUUUUCGGUGUAGGAUGAGCCCGCGGCCUAUCAGCUUGUUGGUGGGGUAAUGGCCUACCAAGGCGGCGACGGGUAGCCGGACUGAGAGGUUGGUCGGCCAGAUUGGGACUGAGAUACGGCCCAGACUCCUACGGGAGGCAGCAGUGGGGAAUAUUGCACAAUGGGCGCAAGCCUGAUGCAGCGACGCCGCGUGGGGGAUGACGGCCUUCGGGUUGUAAACUCCUUUCGCCAGGGACGAAGCGUUUUGUGACGGUACCUGGAGAAGAAGCACCGGCUAACUACGUG